AUAAACAUCACAUGGAGAUAUGCAUGUGUCUCACUACACACACACACACACACACACACACACACACAGACACACAUCCGUCUGCAAUCACAUUCUUCUUCAGCAUGCAUGCAGGACUGCUCUCUCUGUGCAUGACAGGGGCUUUAUUGCUGCAAUGUUUGGGUGAUACAAAUGAUGAAUUUGAGACUGUGACACCGACUGAGGAAUAUUCUACAUUUACAGAUUACAGCUUUGAGUAUGAAACUGACGAUUAUACAUUCACUGUAGAUUAUGCUGUGUAUGUAAAUCCCAAUCAAGUCCACAAUAAAGAACAAUCCAAUCCAGUAAGAGAACAACCAGUCCAUGGUGGCAUGAACGAGAUAAAUGAUAAGGCCUCAACAUUAUACCGAUACUAUGCUAUUGGUCUGGGACUUAUAGUGCAGCAGUUCUGCCAACAAAAAUGACUGGGAUCUUUACAAACAGAGGCUCAACAAAGGGCCAAAAUCAUUUGGAAUUUAACGCAUGGCAGGAUGCCCUUUCAGAUGUCCAAGCUGAGUGACAUUUUCUUCAGAGGAUGCACUGUGGGGUUGCUUGUUCUUUUUAACUGUUCUUUUUAACAUUGAGCUAUUGCAGAACCUUCAUUAAAGAUAAAUACAGAUUGUAGAAAGUAUUAGUGACUUAUACAAUGGCUCAUGAAACAGCCCUAGAAAUGUACACUCACUAUCACCCAUGCUUUAUGUUGUAAACUAACCAUAGACGCAUCAUGAUUUAUCAUCAUACGCUUUUUUUGUUUUUUAUUUUAAUACCAAAAAUCGGAACAGAAUGUAAUGUAAAGUUCUCCAAUGUUGAUGGCACCAUUGCGAAGAAAAUUAUGGGUCAAAUAUGAAUAGAAACAAUAACAUUUAAUGUACAAUUGCCACUGGCAUUCUGUGCAUAUGAUGAAUUAACAUAAAACCUGCUAUUGUUUUUUUUUAUUCUUAUAAAGAUCAAACAAUCA